AGAAACCUAAAAGAGGAACAAAAAAUUCCAAAUUCUAAAACUAAAAAAACUAACCUAACAAAAAACAAAAUUCAAAAUAAAGAUAACAAAGGCACCGAAGAAUCUAUAUAAUCAAAUGAAAAAAGCAUUUCUAAUGGGGAUAAUGAGAAAAAUCAGAUAUUAAAUGAACAAGAAGUACCACUUGAAGGAGUUAAAUGCUCUAAAAAUGAUUUGAGGGACAAAAAUGUGGCCAAACAGCAGAAUAAGGGAACGAAUAAUUCAAACCGAAAGGAAGCAAAAAAAAUUUCAAAUUCCGAAAUUAAAAAAAUUAAUAUAAAAGAACGUGAAAUUGAAGGAAAUGACGAUAAAUAUACUCAAAAAUCUGUAACAUCAAAUGUAGCAAUAAAAUCUGAUGAAAGAAACUUUUCAAAUAGAGGAAAUGAGAAUAAAAAAUUAUUUGGUGAAAAGGAGGCAUUAAAUAAAGGAGAAUGUGAAGAGAUUGAAAAGGAUCUCGUUAUUGCAUCUGAUCUAGAGGAAUUACCAACUGUAACAAAUGAGAGAGAAAUAAUAAAUAAAAAAAAGUUACAGUUGAAUAUGAUGCAGUUAAAAUAAGUGACAACGAAAAACAGAAUGAGAAAAAUAAAAACGAAAACCAAAAAGAAGACGAGAAAAUUGUUAUUUCUAGAAUUCGAAAAAUUAAUGCAACAGAAAAUAAUUUUAUAAUUGAAAGUAAUGAAGAUGCGAGAAAAUUUAUAAAAUCAAAUGAAAUAAAUAGUGGUAUAUCUGAUGAAGAAAGCGUUUUAAACGGAGAAAAUGAGAAAGAAAAAUUAGUGAACAAAAAAGAAGCAUUAUUUAAAGGAGGAAGCAAAGAAACUGAAAUGAAUGACGUUAUAUCUGAUAUAGAUUUGGUAACCGUAACAAAAGAGGAAGAAAUAAUUAUGAGCAAAAACGAAAUUA